AAUUAUACCUAAUAAAACUGAAAAAGAAAAAAAAAAAAAAAAGAAAAGGAGUGAAGAGUGACAGUUUUCCUGGGUGGUCGCUGUUCUGUUUGCUGUAACCAAUCUGCAACAUUUCAGAAAAAGACAGUU
rnacentral:snoRNA from 1 species